UAUGGUGAUUAUGGCGCCGGGGUCCACCUCUUCCCAUUCCGAACAGAGCAGUUAAGCCCGGCAGCGCUGAUGGUACUGCCUUCACCGGUGGGAGAGUAGGUCGUCGCCAGAC
rnacentral:rRNA from 1 species